rnacentral:rRNA from 1 species
AUUGAACGCUGGCGGCAGGCCUAACACAUGCAAGUCGAGCGGAUGAAGGGAGCUUGCUCCUGGAUUCAGCGGCGGACGGGUGAGUAAUGCCUAGGAAUCUGCCUGGUAGUGGGGGACAACGUUUCGAAAGGAACGCUAGUACCGCAUACGUCCUACGGGAGAAAGCAGGGAACCUUCGGGCCUUGCGCUAUCAGAUGAGCCUAGGUCGGAUUAGCUAGUUGGUGAGGUAAUGGCUCACCAAGGCGACGAUCCGUAACUGGUCUGAGAGGAUGAUCAGUCACACUGGAACUGAGACACGGUCCAGACUCCUACGGGAGGCAGCAGUGGGGAAUAUUGGACAAUGGGCGAAAGCCUGAUCCAGCCAUGCCGCGAGUGUGAAGAAGGUCUUCGGAUUGUAAAGCACUUUAAGUUGGGAGGAAGGGUUGUAGAUUAAUACUCUGCAAUUUUGACGUUACCGACAGAAUAAGCACCGGCUAACUCUGUGCCAGCAGCCGCCGUAAAAC